ensembl:lncRNA
AAACAAAGCAUUUUGAUUCCAGAGGUUACUUUCAGGAGCUACGGAGCCGUUCCCAUCACAGUCACCAUCCUCUCUGCCCGGGGACGGUUGAAUCAGAGAAUCACCAGGGUUGGAAGAGGCCGCUCAGAUCACCAAGGGCAGCCCCAACCCAUCCGCACCGUGCCUCAGUGCCACACCUGCAGCUGUGGGAAAUAUCUCCCCUUUUGGUGGCUGUGGGGAAUGAAACACUCCGGUUGUCACCGAGGAGCAGCUCACCAUUUUCGCUGACAACCUGUGCAUACGUGGAAAUGUUCUGACGGGCGAUUCAGGCAGAACGACCUUUUGUACUGCAGACAAACCGCGAUGAACCGUUUCUCUUCGACGAGGAUUUUCGUAUGACAUUAUGAGUCCUGAUGGGAGAUUAGCGAGCACGGCUCAUUAUCAGUGCGUGGAGCAUCGCAGAGGAAGGCUUGGAGCUUUGAGAGAUCUUCAAAACAACCGCCCGAUGCCAAUAAGCAAUUUGAGAUACAAAUAGAGCCAAAAAGCAGAAACCGUGGGCUCAAGUCAGCACUGAUGUAACUCCUUGUUCCCCCAAGGCUGAAUUUGCCUUAGGAAAGUCAAGCUGGGGAGCGGAUUAACUUCUAAGAAACUCAGACUGAACGAAUUAUGGCAAUUAAUUGGUGGGGUCAGCAACGAAAUCAUUGCAGAGGAAAAGAGGAUUCAUUGCUGAGGGGCUGAGAAUGGAGCCUUUGCGGGACGUACGGGGCAAGGUGGUGAGGCAGAGGUCGGUGAAUGACCUUUCCAGCCACCAAAGCAGACCAAAUAUGCUUUGCCACCACCCGCUGCUUUUCAGUGUAUGCAUGUAAUGUUUGGAAAACAAGGCCCUGUCUGUGUCUACUGAAACAGAAGCAACAAAAUAACGCUGCUUGUUAGGGAAAUGCCAAAACAUGGAAAGAUAAUUGAAACAUUCAGGCUGGCUGCAAGUGGGGAUAAAGGCAAUAAAUCCCGACAGCACAGCGCUAUCUCAGGUGGGAGUCAACUGCUGGCCCAGCUCUGGCCGCUGCCCCAAUCCCUGGUCUGACUUUAUCUGCAGUGCUUUGCCCCAGGCCAUGACCCCAUGCAGUGCAGAAAGGGAUGUGCAUGUUGAAGCAGGGAGAUCCGCGUCCCUCCUGCUGCCAUCUGUCCUUCCUGGAGCAGUUUUGUGCUCUGUGCAGGUGCAGGGAGGUGACUGCAGGUGAAAUGGGGCCCAUUGGUUGCAUACAGGGGGACACUGCCAUAGGCACAGGGCUGCAGAGCUGCUCCUGCACAUGCAGCUCACACAGUGCUUCCAGUGCUGGUUGGUGCCUGGGAAUCCCCAGUGACUCUGAAAUUGUCUUAACAUGAAAUCAUUCAGAAUGAGGGAACCCCGGAACUCAGCUACAUAGUUGGUGAUAUAAAAGAAGACACAGAUUUUCUUUCUAGUUUUUUGUGUCAUUGAAACUUGAGCAAUGGAGGGGAAAACC